AAGCAACACUCUGUGGCAGAUAAUCAAAAUGGCUGACACAAUUUGAGCUUGCUAUAGCAAGAUAGUCUAACCUACUCUGGUGUUCUCUCUUUGUGGGAUAAUCCAUUAUAUAGACUUUAACAGU